rnacentral:rRNA from 1 species
AUUGAACGCUGGCGGCAGGCUUAACACAUGCAAGUCGAGCGAGCGGCGGACGGGUGAGUAAUGUCUGGGAAACUGCCUGCUGGAGGGGGAUCACUUCUGGAAACGGUAGCUAAUACCGCAUACCAUCAGAUGUGCCCAGAUGGGAUUAGCUAGUAGGUGGGGUAAUGGCUCACUUAGGCGACGAUCCCUAGCUGGUAUGAGAGGAUGACCAGCCACACGGGAAGUGAGACACGGUACAGACUGCUACGGGAGGCAGCAGUGGGGAAUAGGGCACAAUGGGCGCAAGCCUGAUGCAGCCAUGCCGCGUGUGUGAAGAAGGCCGUCGGGUGGUAAAGCACUUUCAGCGAGGAGGCGUUACUCGCAGAAGAAGCACCGGCUAAAUCCGUGCCAGCCGCCGCGGUAAUUC